rnacentral:rRNA from 1 species
AGUGAACGCUGGCGGUAGGCCUAACACAUGCAAGUCGAACGGCAGCACAGUAAGAGCUUGCUCUUACGGGUGGCGAGUGGCGGACGGGUGAGGAAUACAUCGGAAUCUACUUUUUCGUGGGGGAUAACGUAGGGAAACUUACGCUAAUACCGCAUACGACCUACGGGUGAAAGCAGGGGAUCUUCGGACCUUGCGCGAUUGAAUGAGCCGAUGUCGGAUUAGCUAGUUGGCGGGGUAAAGGCCCACCAAGGCGACGAUCCGUAGCUGGUCUGAGAGGAUGAUCAGCCACACGGGAACUGAGACACGGUCCAGACUCCUACGGGAGGCAGCAGUGGGGAAUAUUGGACAAUAGGCGCAAGCCUGAUCCAGCCAUACCGCGUGGGUGAAGAAGGCCUUCGGGUUGUAAAGCCCUUUUGUUGGGAAAGAAAAGCAGCAGGUUAAUACCCCGCUGUUCUGACGGUACCCAAAGAAUAAGCACCGGCUAACUUCGUG